rnacentral:rRNA from 1 species
AUACGAAGGUCCCGAGCGUUAUUCGGAAUCACUGGGCGUAAAGGGAGCGUAGGCUGUAGGGUAAGUCAGAUGUGAAAUCUCAGAGCUCAACUCUGAAACUGCAUCCGAUACUGCCGUACUAGAGUAAUGGAGGGGUAACUGGAAUUCUCGGUGUAGCAGUGAAAUGCGUAGAUAUCGAGAGGAAGACCAACGGCGAAGGCAGGUUACUGGACAUUUACUGACGUUGAGGCUCGAAGGCUAGGGUAGCGAAAGGGAUUAGAAACCCGAGUAGUCC